UAAGGCACGCGGUGAAUGCAAA
rnacentral:miRNA from 1 species